AGAAACUUAGGAUAAUACUAAACCAAAGGCCUUCAAAGCCUCAAAUAGGAGUGAAAAUCUCCUAGUUUUUG
rnacentral:tRNA from 1 species